rnacentral:rRNA from 1 species
AAAAAUCAGUGAUCCUAUGCUGCCUAGAAAAUCUUCUAGCGAGGUUCGAGCCGCCCGUACCCCAAACCGACUCAGGUGGUUAGGUAGAGAAUACCAAGGCGAUCGAGUGAAUCGUGGUUAAGGAAUUCGGCAAAAUACCCCCGUAACUUCGGGAGAAGGGGGGCCCUGAUCGUGACGGCACUUGCUGCCCGAGCGUGAUCGGCCGCAGAGACCAGGGAGAAGCGACUGUUUACUAAAAACACAGGUCCGUGCGAAGUCGCAAGACGAUAUAUACGGACUGACGCCUGCCCGGUGCUGGAAGGUUAAGAGGACGGGUUAGAUCUUAGGGUCGAAGCUCAGAAUUUAAGCCCCAGUAAACGGCGGUGGUAACUAUAACCAUCCUAAGGUAGCGAAAUUCCUUGUCGGGUAAGUUCCGACCUGCACGAAUGGCGUAACGACUUCUCCACUGUCUCAACCACGAACUCGGCGAAAUUGCACUACGAGUAAAGAUGCUCGUUACGCGCAGCAGGACGGAAAGACCCCGGGACCUUUACUAUAGCUUGGUAUUGGUGUUCGGUACGGCUUGUGUAGGAUAGGUGGGAGACUGUGAAGCAUGCACGCCAGUGUGUGUGGAGUCAACGUUGAAAUACCACUCUGGUCGUUCUGGAUAUCUAACCUCGGUCCGUGAUCCGGAUCAGGGACAGUGCCUGGUGGGUAGUUUAACUGGGGCGGUUGCCUCCUAAAAUGUAACGGAGGCGCUCAAAGGUUCCCUCAGCCUGGUUGGCAAUCAGGUUUUGAGUGUAAGUGCACAAGGGAGCUUGACUGCGAGACAGACAUGUCAAGCAGGGACGAAAGUCGGAACUAGUGACCCGGCGGUGGCUUGUGGAAGCGCCGUCGCUCGACGGAUAAAAGGUACCCCGGGGAUAACAGGCUGAUCUUGCCCAAGAGUCCAUAUCGACGGCAUGGUUUGGCACCUCGAUGUCGGCUCGUCGCAUCCUGGGGGUGUAGUCGCUCCCAAGGGUUGGGCUGUUCGCCCAUUAAAGCGGUACGCGAGCUGGGUUUAGAACGUCGUGAGACAGUUCGGUCCCUAUCCGCUGUGCGCGUUGGAAAUUUGAGAAGGGCUGACCCUAGUACGAGAGGACCGGGUUGGACGAACCUCUGGUGUGUCAGUUGUCCUGCCAAGGGCACGGCUGAUUAACUACGUUCGGAAGUGAUAACCGCUGAAAGCAUCUAAGCGGGAAGCACGCUUCAAGAUGAGAUUUCCAUGGGGUUUACCCCGAGAGGCUCCCGGCUAGACUACCGGGUUGAUAGGCCAGAUGUGUAAGUGCAGUAAUGCAUGUAGCUGACUGGUACUAAUAAGCCGAUGACUCGAA